GACACGGUCCAGACUCCUACGGGAGGCAGCAGUGGGGAAUCUUCCGCAAUGGGCGCAAGCCUGACGGAGCAACGCCGCGUGAGUGAAGAAGGGUUUCGACUCGUAAAGCUCUGUUGUCGGGGACGAACGUAGAGGUUGUGAAUAACCAGCUUCUAAUGACGGUACCUGACGAGGAAGCCACGGCUAACUACGUGCCAGCAGCCGCGGUAAUACGUAGGUGGCGAGCGUUGUCCGGAAUUAUUGGGCGUAAAGGGAGCGCAGGCGGGAAGGUAAGUCUAUCUUAAAAGUGCGGGGCUCAACCCCGUGAGGGGAUGGAAACUAUCUUUCUUGAGUGCAGGAGAGGAAAGCGGAAUUCCUAGUGUAGCGGUGAAAUGCGUAGAUAUUAGGAGGAACACCAGUGGCGAAGGCGGCUUUCUGGACUGUAACUGACGCUGAGGCUCGAAAGCGUGGGGAGCGAACAGGAUUAGAUACCCUGGUAGUCCACGCCGUAAACGAUGAAUGCUAGGUGUAGGAGGUAUCGACCCCUCCUGUGCCGGAGUUAACGCAAUAAGCAUUCCGCCUGGGG
rnacentral:rRNA from 1 species